UGGGGAAUAUUGCGCAAUGGGGGAAACCCUGACGCAGCGACGCCGCGUGUGGGAUGAAGGUCUUCGGAUUGUAAACCACUGUCGCGAGGGACGAAGCUCUGACGGUACCUCGAAAGGAAGCACCGGCUAACUCUGUGCCAGCAGCCGCGGUAAUACAGAGGGUGCGAGCGUUGUCCGGAAUCACUGGGCGUAAAGGGCGCGUAGGCGGCCCGGUAAGUAGGGGGUGAAAUCUCAUGGCUCAACUGUGAGGCUGCCUUCUAGACUGCCAGGCUUGAGCACAGUAGAGGCGAGUGGAAUUCCCGGUGUAGCAGUGAAAUGCGUAGAUAUGUGGAGGAAUACCGAUGGCGAAGGCAGCCCCCUGGGAUAACACUGACGCUCAUGCACGAAAGCGCGGGGAGCAAACAGGAUUAGAUACCCUAGUAGUCCCUGAGCGGGCUGGCAAGGCGCAU
rnacentral:rRNA from 1 species